rnacentral:rRNA from 1 species
ACCCGCUGAACUUAAGCAUAUCAAUAAGCGGAGGAAAAGAAACCAACAGGGAUUGCCUUAGUAACUGCGAGUGAAGCGGCAAAAGCUCAAAUUUGAAAUCUGGUGCCUUCGGCGCCCGAGUUGUAAUUUGGAGAGACAUCUUCGGAGUAGACGCCGUCCUAAGUUCCUUGGAACAGGACGUCACAGAGGGUGAGAAUCCCGUGCCUGGAUGGCUGUUCUACUUCAUGUGAAAUGUCUUCGACGAGUCGAGUUGUUUGGGAAUGCAGCUCAAAAUGGGAGGUAAAUUUCUUCUAAAGCUAAAUAUUGGCGAGAGACCGAUAGCGCACAAGUAGAGUGAUCGAAAGAUGAAAAGCACUUUGAAAAGAGAGUUAAAAAGUACGUGAAAUUGUUGAAAGGGAAGCGCUUGAGACCAGACUCGACCAGUGGUGAUCAGCGGUGCUUCUGUGCCGUGCACUUGCCAUUGGUUGGGCCAGCAUCGGUUUGGACGGCGGGAUAAAGACCUAAGGAAUGUGGCUCCCUCCGGGGAGUGUUAUAGCCUUGAGUGCAAUGCCGCCAGUCUGGACCGAGGACCGCGCUUCGGCUAGGAUGCUGGCGUAAUGGUCUU